rnacentral:rRNA from 1 species
UACGAAGGGGGCUAGCGUUGCUCGGAAUCACUGGGCGUAAAGCGCACGUAGGCGGAUCGUUAAGUCAGGGGUGAAAUCCCGGAGCUCAACUCCGGAACUGCCUUUGAUACUGGCGAUCUUGAGUUCGAGAGAGGUGAGUGGAACUGCGAGUGUAGAGGUGAAAUUCGUAGAUAUUCGCAAGAACACCAGUGGCGAAGGCGGCUCACUGGCUCGAUACUGACGCUGAGGUGCGAAAGCGUGGGGAGCAAACAGG